ensembl:snRNA U6 U6 spliceosomal RNA
GUUCAUUUUGACAGCACCUAAACUAAAAUUGGAAUGAUAAGCAUUCCAGAGAUUAGCAUGGCCCCAGAACAAGUAUGACAUUUAAAUCUGUAAAGUGUUCCAUAUUUUU